UGGUACCUGUAAGACGAGGAAUGUCAGGUAUAGGGUGUAAUCUAUAUAUCUGGGCAGCCCGAUCCCUGUUGAACAAAACAGAGAUGAAGACACAAGGCAGGGCCUUGAGCCCCAUCCGGACAAGACUGUUUCCUCUCCUCGCUGAGAUACUCGGCAGAGGUCCAGUUGCCUUGGCCAUAAAGAGUUUUCGUUGAGUUUGCUCCGGGGCCUUAGCUAAGUGAUCUUGGGUAUGUACCUUUAUUUUUCUAUGCAGAGAUGGCCUCUUCUAAUCACAGCACUGGGUUCACUGGGUAAACUUGUGAAACCCUCAGCACACGGCUAAGAGGCAGAAGCUUGCGAGUUAAUAGGAUCAUCACACCUCUUCCAGAGAGGGUAUAAAAUGAAGAUUAAAUCCUGCGUAGAGUCAGGCAUGAUGGCACACACCCUCAAUUCUAGCACUUGGGAAGUGGAGGGAGGAAGAUCAGGAGUUCAAGAUCAGCUUUAGCUAUAAAAGGAGUUUGGGACUAGCCUGGUCUUCAUAGUGAGUUUUAGGAUAGCCAGAGCUACAUAGUGGUACCCCGUCUCAAAGACAAGCCAACAAACAAAUACUGAGCGCAGUAGAACGUGCCUCUAGUCCCAGGGCUUGGAAGGCUGAAGCAGGAGAAUUAGCCUGCAUUUGAGGUUAGCCUAGACUACUACAGAGACCCAGUCUUAAAAAUAAAACAACAAACAAAAAACUCAGCAGCAAAACAGCCCUGGGGAUUUAAAUGGGGACUGAAAGAGAAGCCAAUGGGCAGCCCCUGCAGUGGUUCUGAGGUGGAGGCUCUGAAGUGGUAGGUUGGCCUGCUCUGCUGCAUCCUAGAGCAUGCCUUGUCGUCAUAAAAAUGGCAUCCUGCCUGGAAUUAUAGUCUGAGUGUCUGUGUGCAGCAUCUCAUACAUGUCUCCGACUCUCUGAGGGGAGCGUUAGAAUACCCACUCUAUAGUUGAGCAAAAUAGAGCCCAGCCAGGGCAAGGGCUCUCCCUGCUGAGUGCACUCUGCAGUGUGCCACCUGGGUCUCCUUCCUUUUCUCAGUGGCUGUGAGUGUUACACGUUGGAGGCUUUUAGCUUAAGCUAGUCAGAUGGGAACAUAUCUUGCCCAGUCUCACAUCUGCUUAUGGGGAACGGCUCACUGACUGAUUAAUACCUAGGACAGAGACCUGGCCCCUUGGUCUCUAUUUCAUAAAACACUACAGGGCCAGCCGAACCCCAACAGACCUAUAUAGCACGAGCCCCACCCCUACCAUGCAUCACAACCACCCUCUCCCUCUGACAAACCCUCUUUCUCCCCCGCCACCCCCAAACCUACCACUGAAGCCCCACCACAUAGAAACCCCCACCCGAAUGUGUCCAGAGACCCUGUCUUAGAUGCAGACAGGUAGUGAAGUUAAUUUCCUUACUUCAAACUGUACAUAUUAGUAAAACAGAUGACAGAAAGGUCAAGGCCAAGAUGGGGUGAGCUGUAAGGAAGAGUUUACUCAUUCCCUUUCUGGAGCAUAGCCAGGAACAGGAGUCAUCAGCCGCUCUCUCUACCUGUGACCUGGUUCUCCCUGUUAAGCGUGCAGACCUGAGCACAGCUGAGGUAUGCCUGCCUGCUGAUUAGGGAGUCAAACCUACCCCACGGGCACUGAUGACACAGCUGCGGCCAUCCCCUGGGAAUGAGGAGUCUGAACUACGUGCAGUGAAAAGCCCUUGAUGGAGAGACGCAGAGGGGCUGGUGUGGGAGCCAGCAGAGCCUUUCUGUGAGGAUCAACGAAUGGCUGGCGGAGAUGGAUAACAGCCCCUCUCCCUUUGCAGGAGGAGUCGGGUGGGAAAAGAGAUCUGGGAAACCAAACCACUGGCCUCAACCCAGACUGCGUUGGAAUGCUGUUACCAUGGCAACUGCACCAGAUUCUAUUUCACAUUUGUCCAAGACAAAUGAGGUAUGGAGGAGGGGAUUGCCUAACUUGGGGAGUCUCUGUGCUCAGAUCAUGCAAAAGCAAGACAAAAUGCUCUAAGGCACGGAGUUCAAGCAGACCUGGAGCAGAGGGCACCUUACCACGUCAGACUUGGUGGUGAAUCUGUAGGUCUGAAGGCUCUCCAGUGCCAUCCACUUGACAGAGCUGGGGACCGAACCCAGGGCCUUGCGCUUCCUAGGUCCCAAUCUAUCCCCCACACCUUUGCCAAUGACUUGGUCAGUAUGGAUGACCACUUGCUCAUGGGGAAUCAGUACAUCCUUGACCUCGGCUAGGAGCAUCUUGUCCAGAUCCUGGAGCCGGAUAGAGUCUGUCCGCAGCAGCGGGACACUUGUCCCAUCCUGACCCUCUGAAGAUUCUUCAUGGUUUGGAGACCAGUGCGAUGGCCAGCCCAGCCACGAGCAGGAUCAAGGCCAGAAGAGCAAUAAGAAGUGUCCUCUGUGAAGCCCUGCCUGGGCCUGACCGAACAACCUGGCCCAGGAUGUGACACCCACCAUCUACACAGACCUGAAAGUAGAUGGCAGUUUAAGCCCAGACUGCAGACCCUCAGCUCAUGGUUUCCGGAGAGGGUCAGCUAUGUCACCUACCUGCAACGGGACACCAUCCUUGCCAAGUUGCAGGGAAGGUGGCAGAGGGCAGAUCACCACAUCCCCCCGGAGCUCAUGUUGGCAGACCUCACCACCCACGGUCACGUUCACCGUCACACAGUCCGCCACAGCGCCCAGCCCAAUAUACUGCAGAGAUAGACCGAGGGAUCAGAGGCUGGGCUCUACCUCCUAAUCUUCCGCGGUACCCUUCCCUAUUCUUUAAACCUACCUCGACCUUAA